GACGAACGCUGGCGGCGUGCUUAACACAUGCCAGUCGAACGGAAAGGCCCAGCUUGCUGGGUGCUCGAGUGGCGAACGGGUGAGUAACACGUGGGUGAUCUGCCCCUAACUUCGGGAUAAGCUUGGGAAACUGGGUCUAAUACCGGAUAGGACAAUCGUUUAGUGUCGGUUGUGGAAAGUUUUUUCGGUUAGGGAUGAGCCCGCGGCCUAUCAGCUUGUUGGUGGGGUAAUGGCCUACCAAGGCGUCGACGGGUAGCCGGCCUGAGAGGGUGGACGGCCACAUUGGGACUGAGAUACGGCCCAGACUCCUACGGGAGGCAGCAGUGGGGAAUAUUGCACAAUGGGCGCAAGCCUGAUGCAGCGACGCCGCGUGGGGGAUGACGGCCUUCGGGUUGUAAACCUCUUUCGACAGGGACGAAGCUUUGGUGACGGUACCUGUAUAAGAAGCACCGGCUAACUACGUG
rnacentral:rRNA from 1 species